UACAGAGGGGGCAAGCGUUAUUCGGAAUUAUUGGGCGUAAAGGGCGCGUAGGCGGCCAUUCAAGUGACGGGUGAAAGCCCUCGGCUUAACCGAGGAACUGCCUGUCAGACUGGAUGGCUUGAGACCGGGAGAGGUGAGUGGAAUUCCCAGUGUAGCGGUGAAAUGCGUAGAUAUUGGGAGGAACACCAGUGGCGAAGGCGGCUCACUGGACCGGAACUGACGCUGAGGCGACGAAAGGCUAGGGAGCAAAGCGGG
rnacentral:rRNA from 1 species